rnacentral:rRNA from 1 species
GACGAACGCUGGCGGCGUGCCUAAUACAUGCAAGUAGAACGCAGUUGCGAACGGGUGAGUAACGCGUAGGUAACUGCCUCAUAGCGUGGGAUAACUAUUGGAAACGAUAGCUAAUACCGCAUACUGUGGGAUGGACCUGCGUUGUAUUAGCUAGUUGGUGAGGUAAAGGCUCACCAAGGCGACGAUACAUAGCCGAGCCAGGAGGGUGGUCCGGCAAAACUGGACUGGGAAACGGGUCAGAACUCUACCGGAGGGAGCAGUAGGGAAUCUUUGGAAAAGGGGGGAAAUCUGACCGCGCAAAGGCGGGGGGGGGAAGAAGGUUUUCGGGUCGUAAAGGCCUGUUGAUAGAGAAGCGGUAACUAACCAGAAAGGGACGGCUAACUACGUGCCAGCAGCCGCGGUAAUAC